CUGAGUUACUCCCAGAAAAAGAGGAGACUUCUCAAGCUGACCAGGAUAUCCAAGACAAAGAGCCUCAUUGCCACAUCCCAAUUAAGAGAAAUUCCAUCUUCAAUCGCUCCAUAAGACGCAAAAGCAAAGCCAAGGCCAGAGACAACCCCGAACGGAACGCCAGCUGCCUGGCAGAUUCACAGGACAAUGGAAAAUCUGUAAAUGAGCCCCUGACCUUGAAUAUCCCCUGGAGCAGAAUGCCUCCUUGCAGAACAGCAAUGCAGACAGACCCAGGAGCCCAGGAAAUGAGGUAAGAGAUGGCAGAUCAUGAGGAAUGCUGGUCUGGGAAAGAUGCAUCAGAGGUCAUUGCUGCAAAGACUUGACAGGGUUACGAGGGUGUCAUGUUAAAAAAAAUAAUAAUAACUUUUGGUUGCCCGUGCUAAAAAAAUAAAUAAAUAAAAACUCCAUAAUUUAAAAAAAA
rnacentral:lncRNA from 10 species